CCGGAUUUAUUGGGUUUAAAGGGUACGUAGGCGGCCUUGUAAGUCAGCGGUGAAAUUUUGCAGCUUAACUGUAAAAGCGCCGUUGAUACUGUGAGGCUAGGAUUUGGUUGCUGUGGGCGGAAUGUGUGGUGUAUCGGUGAAAUGCUUAUAGAUCACACAGAAUAUCCAUUGCAAAGGCAGCUCACAUAGCCAAGAUUGACGCUGAGGCACGAAAGUGUGGGGAUCAAACAGGAUUAGAUACCCUGGUAGUCCACACUGUAAACGAUGAUAACUCGCUGUCCGCCAUAGACCGUCCGUGGCCAAGCGAAAGCCAUAAGUUAUCCACCUGGGGAGUACGACCGCCAGGUUGAAACUCAAAGGAAUUGACGGGGGCCCGCACAAGCGGAGGAACAUGUGGUUUAAUUCAAUGAUACGCGAGGAACCUUACCCGGGCUCGAACGGUGCAUGAAUGUUCAAAAGAUUGGACAGUCCUUCGGGACAUGUAUCGGGGUGCUGCAUGGUUGUCAUCUACUCGUGCCGUGAGGUGUCUUCUUAAGUGCCAUAACAAUCCCAUCCAUUGUCAUUAUUGCCCAUCUGGUCACGCUGGGGACUCUAUAGAGACUGCCACUGUACGGUGAGAGGAAGGGGGGGAUGACGUCUUAUCAUCACGGACCUUGUGUACGGGGCGACUCUCGUGUUAUAUGGGAGGUGCAGAGAGCAUGCCUUCAGGGAAAUCGCGCCAAUCUCAAAACCCUUUCUCAGUUCGGAUUGUGAGUCUGCACUCGACUUCUCGCGCUGCAUUCGCUAUUCAUCGCGCAUCAC
rnacentral:rRNA from 1 species